GACAGAGGAUGCAAGCGUUAUCCGGAAUGAUUGGGCGUAAAGCGUCUGUAGGUGGCCUUUUAAGUCUGCCGUCAAAUCCCAGGGCUUAACCCUGGACAGGCGGUGGAAACUACCAAGCUGGAGUACGGUAGGGGCAGGGGGAAUUUCCGGUGGAGCGGUGAAAUGCGUAGAGAUCGGAAAGAACACCAACGGCGAAAGCACUCUGCUGGGCCGACACUGACACUGAGAGACGAAAGCUAGGGGAGCGAAUGGG
rnacentral:rRNA from 1 species